GCACACAGGAAGUGGAUUCUGACGAGCAGACGAACGCUCAGGUGUCGGAGAUUCUGAGCAGCUCGCUGUGAGGCCGGCCCCGCCCCCCCCUCAGCUCUCCGCAGAUUGUAAACUGAAUAAAGUUGCUGGUUCAACUCUCCGACUCAGAGACCCACGGCUUCGACUGUUACAGAAUAAUCAAUGCCACGAGAACCCAGCUCCUUCUGACGGACGCUUUGCACACGGACCAAACGCUGAAGGUGGACUUAAUGUUUCACUCCUUCUUCAUUUAAAUAUCUCACUCUGGAUCUGUGGCAUGGACUCUACUUGAAGUGAAUGUGCAGUCUGUGUGCGUCUCAGUGUUUGAUUUCUGCGAUCUGUUUAAAUGUGGUUUUAAUGGAGGGGUUAUUGAACGGGCCCCUGGAGCUAUGGUUUCAUAUUUCCUGUUGGAAAGUCAAUCAAACGACAGCGCAGAGGCUAAAUAUGAUCACAAGAGAACACGAAAACACUCCGAAGUAAAACAAGAAACACAUGCAAUCAAUUAGAACGCCACUCAAAAGCACUUCAGAGAGACUCAACACAACCUCAGGAGGAACUCAGACCACUACAGACAGACUCAACACAACCACAGGAGGAACUCAGACCACUACAGAGAGACUCAACACAACCACAGGAGGAACUCAGACCACUAGAGAGAGACUCAACACAACCACAGGAGGAACUCAGACCACUACAGAGAGACUCAACACAACCACAGGAGGAACUCAGACCACUACAGAGAGACUCAACACAACCACAGGAGGAACUCAGACCACUACAGAGAGACUCAACACAACCACAGGAGGAA